GAUGAACGCUGGCGGCGUGCCUAAUACAUGCAAGUCGAGCGAACGGACGAGAAGCUUGCUUCUCUGAUGUUAGCGGCGGACGGGUGAGUAACACGUGGAUAACCUACCUAUAAGACUGGGAUAACUUCGGGAAACCGUAGCUAAUACCGGAUAAUAUUUUGAACCGCAUGGUUCAAAAGUGAAAGACGGUCUUGCUGUCACUUAUAGAUGGAUCCGCGCUGCAUUAGCUAGUUGGUAAGGUAACGGCUUACCAAGGCAACGAUGCAUAGCCGACCUGAGAGGGUGGUCGGCCACACUGGAACUGAGGCACGGUCCAGACUCCUACGGGAGGCAGCAGUAGGGAAUCUUCCGCAAUGGGCGAAAGCCUGACGGAGCAACGCCGCGUGAGUGAUGAAGGUCUUCGGAUCGUAAAACUCUGUUAUUAGGGAAGAACAUAUGUGUAAGUAACUGUGAACAUAUUGACGGUACCUAAUCAGAAAGCCACGGCUAACUACGUG
rnacentral:rRNA from 1 species